ACUUCACGGGUAGAGCCAUGGGACAGAAAGAACCCUCAAUAGAGGUGAAGUUGAUGAAGAUGUAUGGAGAGUGCCACUGGACAGAGAGCUGAAGAGAAAGUCAGGCAAGCAGCAAGCAGAGAUUAAGCCAAGCAUGAGACAAGCAAGCAGCAAGGAGAAACUGCUUCCUCUUCUGUGGUGAAGAUCAAAACAGUACAUUCCUCCAUAAUGCUGGUAACUUUCUAUCAGAUUAUAUGGCAUCUCAUCCCAGAAAUUAGUAUCUUCAUAAUGACAGAAUGACUAAAUCUACACUUGACAGGCAUUCAAUUUCAAUGAGAACCUUACAGGCUAGAAGGGUAAUAUGAGGGAUAUGUUAACGAGAAGAAACAAAUGUACUUUAUUCUAACAGUUGACCCAUGAAAGCUAUAUUCCAAUGAUGAUAUCUUUACUGCACCAGUAUGACUUUAUUGCUUGGGAAUAGGGUAUUUCACCUAGUACUGACUGGCAACCAGAUUUUGAUUCAGACAUAACCAAAUUAUUAUUAAAAAAAAAAUACAAUUUUCGAACAGCUGGGCUACAUGCAAGAGCUGUUACAGCAGUGCACCACAUGAGGAGUAAAAUUUAAUUGAAAUGAAUUACCUUAAUUCCCCAACAGACUAGUAUAUUCCAUUUUCCUUUGUCAAAGUUCUCCCUCUAUGAGUUUUUCCUCUGUUGCACAUCACAC